rnacentral:rRNA from 1 species
ACCUACGGGGGGCAGCAGUGGGGGAUAUUGCACAAUGGGGGAAACCCUGAUGCAGCGACGCCGCGUGGGCGAAGAAGUAUUUCGGUAUGUAAAGCCCUAUCCGCAGGGAAGAAGAAAUGACGGUACCUGAGUAAGAAGCACCGGCUAAAUACGUGCCAGCAGCCGCGGUAAUACGUAUGGUGCAAGCGUUAUCCGGAUUUACUGGGUGUAAAGGGAGCGCAGGCGGCACGGCAAGCCUGAUGUGAAAGCCCGCGGCCCAACCGAGGGACUGCAUUGGGAACUACCGUGCUGGAGUGCCGGCGUGG